rnacentral:piRNA from 1 species
UGAAAAUUGUCUAGUGAGUCCAUCUCUUCCAC